GGCCCUAGCUGGUAAGCAGCUCGGGCAAGAAGGGAUGAACCGAGAAUUAAGUUAAAGUGCGCAAAUAACGGCUCAUUUAGACACCAGAAACGGUGUUGGUUGGUUUAGACAGCAGGACGGUGGCCAUGGAAGUUGGAAUCCGAUCAUGAGUGUGUAACAACUCACUUGCCGAAUCAAUCAGCCCGGAAAAUGGAUCGCGCUGAAGCCGUUUACUUAAACUUGAUCAAUCUUCUAGAAGAAGAUUGGGUAGGAAGUCGUGUGGAUUUUGGGGUAGAAGUGUUGGUGAGGACCAGCAUGGACCAAUUCCAUAGUGCAGAUCUUGGUAGUAGUAGCAAUUAUUGUAGUUUAAACCUACAAGACUGAAGUGGAGAAGGGUUCCAUAGCCACUGUAUAUAGCUAUGGGUUACUCGGUCCUAAAUGAUAGGUGAAGAUCAAUGGUAAUCGUGCCGUUUUUUUUAUGGUGAAAAAGACGGGGCCUAUUGAAAGGGUG
rnacentral:rRNA from 1 species